rnacentral:lncRNA from 1 species
UAUAUAUAUAUAUAUAUAUAGAAUUAGGCUGGAAUACUAUUAAUAGUAAAACGCUAUUUUUGCUAUCAAGUUUUUAACCCUUGGAUGAAAAAUUGUAGGGUCGGGAUGAUAUUAGUCGGUUAGAGUUGAGUGGUCCCCCUAGGGUUGAGUGGUCCCCACUGGGUUAUAGUAUUUAAUCCAAUGGUUUAAAAUAAUAAAAAGAGUUGAUCCAAAGGCUAAAAAAGUGGUAGCAACAAUGGGAUUUUGCUACUAAUAGUAGCCCAGUCCAACUCUAUAUAUAUAUAUAUAUAUUUCAAUUUUAAGUUUUAACGUAUAUCAUUUUUGUUUAAGACCUCUAUAAAUUAACAUUGAAGCACUGCUCUAUUAUGAUUUGCAUGUAGCAGGAUAAAAUUUUAAUGGGGAGCUCUCCCACGACCCUUUGUUGGAGAGCUCCUGAUCUAUUGCCACAUAUCAAUUUUACCUUCAUAUAACGGUUCGUUUACUGUUUUUUAAUACUAAAUUUUUUUUAAAAAAUAAGCUUUUAGGCAGCGUUUGGUUAAGGAAUGGGAAUAGAAAUAGGCCCUUAUCCCUCCCUUUAUACCCAAAUGCUAAUUUUUUAUCCGAGAAUAAUAGUUCUCGAUUAUUCCCACCAACACCUCUAUUUUCUAUAUAAAACUAUCUAAAAUUGUUCAUAUCCUCGGGAACAACCCAAUUUUAUCCAAAUACUAUUUUUUCUAUCCCCAUGCUUGUACCUAUCAUUGUAAUAGCUAGUUAUUGCUUAUACCCGAAUCAAACGGUACCUUAAAGGUUAGGUUUAUAAAUAUUUGAAUAGAGGCAAAACUGUUACGAGACAGCACAUCGAAGGUUUCUCAAGGAGGCUUUAUCGGAAAGCUUUCCACUAUAUAUAUAUAUAUAUAUAUAUAUAUAUAGAGUUGAGCUAGAAUACUCUCAAAAGUACCAAGAGAUUGGUGCUUUUGAGUUUUUAACCCUUGAAUGGAGAGAUGUGAGGUUAAGAUGAUGGUGGUAGGUGGAAUAGUGUUUGAUCCAAGGGUUUUUAGUAUUCUAGGAGUAGAUCCAAUGGCUAAAAACUUAAUAGCAUCAAGGAGAUGAUACUACUAAAAGUAUUCUAGCUCAAUUCUAUAUAUAUAUAUAUAUAUNAGUUCGCAUAAAUAUUAAUUGUGUGGGGUCUAAUCAAAUUCCAAACAAAAUUAAGAUAAGAGUGCCCCAUCACUACCAGUAGUCCCCUUCAAUUCUAUUGCAUCAUUCUUUGUUGAGCACUAGCCCUUCUGGGUACUUUAAUUAUUGUUAUUCGUUGAGUAGUGGUGGAUACAUUAUUUUUGGUUGGUGUUGGGUUAACAUCUUGGAGUAUAAUCUUUGUUAAUGUGCUUCUUCUAAAAACGGGGUUAUUAUAUUAUGUGUUAAAAGUUUAUUUAUUUGAGAGUUUGGAGUUAGAAAAUUUUUGAAAGUUUCAAAUAUUUAGGGUUAUUAUGUUGUUUUUAAUAAUGAGGCAUCUGAGUUGAUGAUAAUUAAUUGAGAGUUAUUUUAGACAUAAUCAAUUAACGACUCGUGAACUUUCAGAGGACUAAAUUUUGUGAUGUUUUAGUAUUAUUUAUUUAUUUUUCAAGUGGUAUCAACAUUAAAAAGUGAUUAGGGUAAAUAUGAGGUGUAUUUGAGACCGCUUAAUCACUUAGUAAACAAUGUGAAAAAAAUCAUAAAAUAUGGUUUCUAACAAGUUCCAAUACCAUAAAUCUUGUUUAACUGUGUCAAUUGUUGAUUCGUAUACUCUAUGAACAAAAAUAAUCAAUUGGAGAUAUUAAAAGCUUGAUGCUUUUAAAAGCAUUCCAACUCAAUUUUGAGCUAUUGAGCUACACUACUUUUAAAAGCAUCAAGAUUUUGAUGCUUUUACGUCGUUUUCGGUGACAAGACAUUCCAAUUAACGAUCGACAAUUGUGACGCCCUAAGUUCUCAGGGGAUCAUCCAUCCUAGGACUAUUCUCGUUCUAACACGCUUAACUCUCUUAAUCUUUUGGGUUUUACCACUACCCAAAAUGCUUAAGCCUGAUUAAAAUCGUUUAGCCCUAUUAUAUCUUAUAUAUAGGACUAUCUGGUGUCUCACAAUCUUUUCCCCUUUAAGCCCUGACGUCUUCGUCAGACUUAGACUCACAAGUAUCAGGCGAUAUGAGGCUAGCCUCUCUGAGUCAGUCGAGACUAAUCUCACACUUUCUGCUGAUAAUUGGCUCUGAUACCAACUAUGAUGCCCCAAGUUCCUAGGAGGUCACCCAUUCUAAAACUACUCCCUUCCUAACACGCUUAACUUUCUUAACCUCUUGGGACUUGCCACCACCUAAAAUGUUUAAACCGGAUUAAGAGUUUAACCUUAUUAUAUCUUAUAUAUAGCACUAUUUGGGGUUUCACAAUAAUAUUACAUAAUCUAUGGCUCGCAAUUUUUUUAAUAUUAUUUAUCUAUUAUUCAGAUAGUCUCAAAAUAAAUAAAUUUUGAUGAAAAAAUAAAAUAAUUUAAGACUAUUUGAUCAUUGCAUAAAUAAUAUAUUAAAAAACUAUAAAAUUUAAUUUCUACAAAGCUCAAAGACCCUAGAUCGUGUGUAAUGACGUAGAUUGUUAAUUUGAAUGCUGCAUCAUCGAAAAUGGUGCGAUCUUUUUUCAUAUCCUAUAUAUCCAGAUGCCUUAUCAUUGCACUACUCGCGAGUUAGCGAUAAGAAAUGUAGCUUCCAUUCAUCAUUAAUUAUCCACUUGAGUGGAAGGAUUUAGGGCAAAAAGGAAUUAAUUGCAUCUUUUGGUGGGGAUGUAGCCCUAAUUAUGUUGAGGCCUAGGAUGCGAGGACAAUUUUGUUAAUCCCAAUUUAUGAAUGUGCUCGCUGGGUCCUUCAUUUCAUCAUUUUAUGCUUUUAGCACCUGCUUGGAUUAAUUUUUGUAGCUUUUAAUUCGAAAUUUGUUUUUGAUGGACCUAAUUCCCAUAGAUCAAAAGUUGCUCUGAUGGUUUAUAUCUUUGGUUAUAUUAUUCCUCUAAUUUAUAUUCUCAUGGUUAAUUAUAUUCUCAUUAUUCUUUUUUAUAUGCAUGCCAUAUCUAAUGUCACCUUUUGUUCUUAUCCCCUAAAGGUUGUAGAUUAUAUGCAGUUAUGCUCUUUUCUUUCACAUGUAAUUUAUAACUAAUUAUUUACGCUUACCUAUAAAAUCAACUACUUAUUUAUAUACUUCUACAUGUAUAUAUAUCAAAAUUUAUGUACUUGAAAUUUCUGUAUUUUUACAUAUCUAUGUAAGUACUUUUUAGUAGGUGCUCUCGUAUAUUGCUUUACAAAAUUUUAUGGGCACAUCUUAAGAAAGGUGGGUCCAUUUGUNAUGUAUAAUUGGCUUAAGUUGGCUCGAAUAGCAUGUUACUUAAAAGAUUAUUUAAUAAGAAAUCGAUUAAGAACAUACAAAAUAGACCCACCUUUAUGUACUUGAAAUUUCUGUAUUUUUACAUAUCUAUGUAAGUACUUUUUAGUAGGUGCUUUUGUCAAUUGCUUUACAAAAUUUUAUGGGCACAUCUUAAGAAAGGUGGGUCCAUUUGUAAUGUUCUUAAUCUAUUUCUUGUUAGAUUAAUCUCUUAAGUAACAUGCUAUUCGAGCCAACUUAAGCCAAUUAUGUUUUGUGACUAGUCCAUUAAUUGAUUGAUCUCAUCCUUUCAUUUUUACCUAGUUGCAAAUUAAUUCAAUUUAUACAAGCAAUUGACAAACAAAUAGCACCACCAAUGUGUGCUCUAACCAUUUUUCUCAUGUGUCCAACAAUUUCUAUCUAGCUAGUAGAGAAAUCAUAUAACUUCAUCUAUUUGUUUUGGCAAUUAUACGCCUCUCAAUCCCCCUAAAACUUAUCAACACUACAAAAAAAAAAAUCAAACCUUAAGAUGCAUGCCAUCCAUCGUCUUCUUCUUUCUAUUUCCCCUUCUUUCACUCAGAAUGGACCUUUUGCGCGCAGACGCCGACCGCAACUUCAAUAAGCUCGAUCUCCUUCACCGCGCCUUUGUCUAGAGAAAGGCGCUAGUUGCCAGCUAUUUUCGUCGGUGCCCAAACUUAUCUGAACUCAGUGCAACCCCCGCAUCAAGUGCUCCUCCAGUUUCUCUAUAUCCUUCUCUGCUCCGUUGAGUCGUGUCGAGAACUUCUCGGUGCAUGUGGUGAAAAUCUAUGCAUUGUCAUUUAUAACUACGCUAGUGCGAAAACCCGAGGCCCUCUCUCGCUCAGGAGACCUUCACGUUCGGGUCGAUUAACAAAGUUAGUGUUUCUAACAUAAUCUUCGGCAUUAUCGGCAUUGACUGCGGAAGUUCAUCUCUUGUAUCUUAGCUAGCAAUCCACAGAUUCUCCUACUGCCUCGCUCCCAACAACGAGUCCACGAAAAGCGCAUUCGUAUUCGGCUCACUUGUCGAAAUAACCCAAAGUGUUGCUAGUUUGUAUUUCAGUACGUAAUAUUUUGAGCAUUCUGGUCUCAGCAUUUGUUAGCAAUCUCUAGAUUCUGGUUUCAGCAUUUGUUAGCAUUCUGGUUUUAGUACAUAACAUUCUGGGCAUUUUGGUUUCAGCAUUUGUUUUUAUAAUUCUUAACAGAGAUACUUUGCCGCUUAUGAGAUGAGACGGAGAGAAAUGACAAUGCAGAGCAAAGUUCUACGGAUACAUCAGGCGCGGACAAUAAUUUCUUCAAUAGCUUUUCCAACCAGUCGAGUACUGAAAUUAAAAUUUGAAAAGGCUAAAUAAUCCAAUAAAAGAAAGUCAGGUGUCUUUUUGCAAAGUAAGUUUGGGCUGGGCUUGGUAUCCACAAUACAAAUUUAAGCUACAGCCCAGCUUUGAAAUUUGGGCCCAAAACUAUUUUGAGCCCAUUCGGGCUUUUCCCAAAUCCAGCCCAAGUCCAUCAUAAAGUCUAGAGAAACUCCGUUUGAGUUUGUAUGUGCGUGUAUGUAUUUUUGUGUGUGCUUCUGGAAGGGUUGACCGCACGCAAAUGGGUCCGUGUUGAAGGAGCUACCACUCCGAUCUGCUCGAAAUGUGAUAGUCAUUGAAAACCAAAAAUAUAUAAAAAAUAUAUAUAUAUAAUCUGUUCUGAAUCUGUUCUGAUCUGUUAAGUAAAUAGAGCGGAACGCGAGAGACUCUUUUUUCAUAUCCGUUCCAAUCUGUCAAUAACUUGCUCGCGCCCUAAUCCGCUUCUGGAUACACCUUGUUUGACACGUGUAUAUUAUUCUAUGCUAUGCUGAUAUAUUAUUUAAUGGCCAAUUUGCAUAAAAAUUUCAUAAAUUUUGAGCUUUUGCAAAACUGGACCGUCUUUUUCGAUUUUACAAAUUCGAUCCGAAUUUUCAGCAAACUAACCAAAAUACCCUUACUGUCUUUUCUCUCUCCUCUUUCUCUCUCCUUUUUUUUUUCCUCUCAUUUAUUUUUUUUUCUCUCGCCGAAGAAGGCAGCGGAGGCAGAGACGGAGGCGGAAAUCGCCCGCCUCGCCUCCCACCCUCAUGCUUUCGCCCUCGCCCUCGCUCUCGCCCGCACACCCCCCGUCUUUCUUGCCUCCGACCCCACCGAGGCCGCGCCGUGACUCUUUUUUUUUUUUUCUCUCUCCAACUCUCCUCCACCGUCUUCAACGACGAGGCCUCUCUCACCCUCUCUCGCCCUUCUCCGCCCUUCUCGUCCUCUCCCUCUCCCUCAUCCGCCGCCUCCGAUAACGACGCAUCUUCGCCGACACCGAUGCCGCAGAGGUCUCUGCAGUGCCGCAGCCUUGGAGUGGAGGUUCUUAGCGGCGUCGUCGCCGGCGCCAUGGCCGUUGGCUUAGAAAGGUGACUAAAAAAAUUUGUAGAAAAAGAAAGAAGAAAAAAAUAAAGACAAAAAAUUAUAGAAAAAGAAAGAUGAAGAUGAAAUUGCACCAUUAAAAUAAAAUUACACUAUUUUAAAAGAACGUUGCACUAUUAUCGACAUAAGUUACACUACUUAAAAUGUAAACUGUAUCCUUUAAGAUAAAAGUUAUAUUCUUUAAACGAAAGUUGCAAUCUUUGAGAGAUAUUUACACUGUUUCUCCUCUUCUUGCACUCUUUGAGAUAUAAACUGCACCCCUUUAAGGGAUAUUUAUACUGUUUCUCCUCUUGUUGCAUUAUUUCUCUUGUUGCUCUAUUUCUCCUCUUAUUAUACGAUUUCUCCUCUUAAAGGGUGUGGUUUAAAAGGAGAAACAGUUUUCUCUGUUAGAACUAGGGAUUUUCUUUUCUACUCGAAUCAAAAUUAUUGUUUAAAUAAAUUUCUAAAUACCAUAAAUUACUAUCUUUGCCCAAAAUUUUAUUCCCAGUUCUUUGCAACUAAUAAUGAAAUCUUAUUGACUUUAGGAUGUAGCUUAACUUUUUCGUCUUGUAAUAAGCUGAAUUUUGGUUGCCUCUUUUCUAUCUUUUUUCUUGCACUUACUAGGUUUAGGUUGAUGAGGAUCCAGCUGAAGUUAAGGAGGGGAGUGAUGAUUAUAAAGUUGAGGUAACUGUUCUGUCAUUUGACAUACUUUUUUUUGACUUAUUCUGGUUUUUAUUAUGGUAAAUGGGAAAUUAGCAAUUCCUUGUAACAAAUUAUUUUUUUGUGCUUAUACAUAAUCUUGAUGCAGAACAUAAAGAAGACUAAAAAGGUUAUAGAGAGGUACUGGGACUGAAACUCAUAAAUGAGACGCAACCUAUUUGGGUAAUGAUUAAUCAACUAAUCCAAUCAUAAAAUACAAUCAAAGUCCUCUCUAAAGAUUUUGAAGGGUCCCCGAGAGAUGUGAAAUCUCUGUCAUAUCUGAAAUUAGAACAUAUCACAAUAAUUCCAAACCAUAAUUCUGUCUGCCGUGAACGAACCGGCCUCGCCGUAGGUUGUUUUUAGGGCGAGUGGUCAUUCAUGGUAGAUAUUAGAUUUGUUUAAGUUUUCUUUUGGAAUCAGGAUUAUAGGUUCAUGGCUUCCAACAAACUCAAGAGUCUGCUGUUAAUUACCCCACACUUUCGGUAUUAAGGAACUCUCGAUUAAGAGACCAAAUAUAAAUGCUGAUAAUAAAUGAGACAAAACAGGCAAAUGAAAUUUUAUUGAUAUGAUUUGCCGUGUACAUGACUUAAGCUGGGGCAUACCCCCACUAUAUAUGAAUUUCAUAAAAUGACAUGGCGUUCGAUUGAAGUUUUGAUGCUCAGUUUAAUGACAUGGAGGUCGAGUUCACCUUGGUUAUAUAUUCCAAGGUGGAGAUAUGACCAAACCCCAAGUAUAUGUAUUGAGGUAGAUCAGAUUUGAUAUUACCCGAAAGUAGAAGGUGGCUAAUUCCUGGGUGUAUGGAUCAGGAUUAACCGAGUUUAAUAUGUUUUCACUCUAGUUAUAUAUUCUAGAGUGAAGAUCUGACUAAUCCCUAAGUAUAUGUAUUAGGGGUAGUCGGAUUUGAUUUGUAUGAGCUCCAAGUAUAUAUAUUAGAACUCAAUUGGGUAUGGAUUUUACUCUAGGUAGAUGUGCUAGAGCAAAAAGGCUGAUUAGACCCUAAGUAUAUGGGUUAGAACUAGUCGGGUAUGGUUUAACUUUCACUCUAGGUAUAUGUGCUAGAGCAAAAGGCUGACUAAGUCCUAAGUAUAUAUGUUAGGGUUAGCCGACCAUGGUUUGACUUCUACUCUAUGUAUAUAUGCUAGAGCAAAAGGCUGACUAGACCCUAAGUAUAUGUGUUAGGAUUAGUCGGAUGAACUCUAAGUAUAUAUGUUAGAGUUCGAAUAAAUUUGAUAUAAUUUGACUGAAUUCUAAGUAUAUGGCUUAUAACUCUGUCGAUUUGGAGAUGUUUUGCCUUAGUUAUAUGUGCUAAGGCGAUCGACUUAGCCCUAAAUAUAUGUAUUAGGGGUAGUCGAUAUUUAAUUUUCAUUCUAGGUAUAUGUGCUAGAGUAGAAAAGGUUCAUGAUGACUUGGGUUUAGUUUAACGACGUUUCGGUCGUUUGAAUUUGGGUUUAGUUUAACGACGUUUCGGUCGUUUGAAUUUGAGUUUAGUUUAACGAUGUUUCGGUCGUUUGAAUUUGGGUUUAGUUUAACGAUAUUUCGGUCGUUUGAAUUUGAGUUUAGUUUAACGACUUUGCGGUCGUUUGAAUUCGGGUUUAGUUUAGCGACGUUUCGGUCGUUUGAAUUUGGGUUUAGUUUAACGACAUUUCAGUCGUCUGAAUUUGGGUUUAGUUUAGCGACGUUCCGAUCGUCUGAAAUUUAGAUGAAAUUAAUUCAUGGUAGGGGCCAUUUAGAGAGCCCAUUGAAUAAAAUUAAUGUAUGAUAAUGAGCUAUUUGGAAGGCCUAUUAGUUCAUGAAAUUAAUUUAUGACAAGGAGGGCCCAUGAAAUUAAUUCAUAUAAUUAAUUCAUGAGAAAGAGGUCCAAUUGGAAAGUUCAAGAAAUUAAUUCAUAGGAUUAAUUCAUACAAAGGGGUUCGUUUGGAAACCCAUUAAUUCAUGGAAUUAAUUCAUAAUAAGGGGCCCAUUUAGAAAGCCUAAGAACUUGGUUUGGGUUGGAGGUAUUUGGAUGACAUAGGUUUAGUAAAUUUCGUUGGGUUUCAUUUGUGGACUUUGAAUUUUGGAUCUCAUUUGUAGACUUUAGGUUUUGGAAUUUUAUUUGUGAAUUUUAGAAUUUUUGGGAUUUUAUUUGUGGACUUUGAAAUUUUUGGGAUUUUAUUUGUGGACUUUUGGAUUUUUGGGAUUUCAUUUCUGGACUUUGGAAUUUUUGGGAUUUUAUUUGUGAGCUUUAGGAUUUUUGGGAUUUUAUUUGUGGACUUUUGGAUUUUGGGAUUUUGUUUGUGGACUUUGGGUUUUGGGAUUUUGCUUGUGAAUUUUGAGUUUUGGAUUAAGAAAUGAAUUUUUAUUUGUUUUGGGCCCACAUCUACAUGUGGGUUGAGAUAUGCUGCAGGCUUUACAUGUUCUGGGCCCGAAUCUGUAUGUGGGCUGGAUUUUUAUUGAUUUUGAAUUUAAAUCUGCACAUGGGCUGGAUUUCGGGCUUUACAUGUUUUGGGCCUUGGACCCGAAUCUACAUGUGAACUGAAAUCAGUCUUGGACUUUACCUGGUCUGGGCCCAAAUCUGCAUGUGGGCUGAGACGAGUUUCGGGCUUUAAUGCUUUGGACCUUAGACCCGAAUAUGUACGUGGGCUGGAUUUCGGGCUCUACAGGUUGUGGGCCCGAAUUUGCAUGUGGGUUUGAUUCUUUUUUUUUUUUUUUUUUACUGGCUUAUAGAGUUUCUCAUUUGGCCAAUGAUUAAGUGAUGAAUUGGACCAUUUUUAAAAUUAAAUAGCCCAAUCUAUUCUCCUCAACAACUCUUUUGUUUUUGUAUUUUAUUUUUUUUUAUUUCUUUUCUUCUUUCUUUCUUUUUUUUUUGCUGAUUGUGAAGAGAAGGAAAUCCAACUCUUUUUUUCUUUCAUUUUUUUUCUUCUUUUCUUUCUUUUUCCCCUUUUUUUUUUUUUUGCUGUACGUGAGAAGAGGAAAUCCAACUUUUUUUUUCUUUUCUUUUCUUUUGUUUUCUCUCUUUCUUUUUUCUUUUUUCUUUUUUUUUUUUGAUGACCAGGAGAGAGAGAGCCUCUCUCUUUUUUGUAUAUUUAUUUUCUUUCUCCUUUCUUUUCUUCUUUUCUUUUUUUUCUUUUUUUUCUUUUUUUUUUUUUUUUUCGUUUGACUGCUCAGAGGGGAAGUUGGAAACUCAACUUUUUCUUUUCUUUUUUUUUUUCGUCUUUGUUGCAUUUUUUUUCUGUCUUUUUUUUUUUUUUUUUUUUUUUUUUUUUUUUAACUAGAAGAGAGGAGUGUAGACUUGGUUGUAGUUGCAACCCAAACUCUCUCUCUCUCUCUCUCUCUCUGUACAGAACCGAGAAAGAGAGAGAGAGAGGGAGGUUGCUCUUCCUCUUUUUUUUCUUUUUCUGUUUAUUUAUUUAUUUAUUUUUUUUGUCCAAAUAAACGAAGUUGAUUAUGGUCGAGCCAUACAAUCGGAUCGAACAAAGAUGAACGAAUAGAAACGGAACCUGUUCGUUUUUUUUUAUUAUUAUCAUUUAUUUUAUCACGUUUUGUUCAAGUGCGCGGGGUUUAAUCGUGUCGAACCUAUCACGAAGAUGGCUGCUCGAUUAAUCGUUUUGACCAUGUCGAGCUGAUCGCGAAGAUGGCCGCACUAUUUUCGUAGCAAAAUAUUCGAUGUUCGAUCAACAAUUUCGAUCAUGUCGAGCCUAUCGCGAAGAUGGCCACACGAUUUUCGUAGCAAAAUAUCCGAUGUUCGAUCAAUAAUUUCGACCAUGUCGAGCCUAUCGCGAAGAUGGCCGCACGGUUUAGAUAAUAAAAUAUCCGGUACUUGUUCGACCAUAUCGAGCCUAUCACGAAGAUGGCCGCACGGUUUAGAGAUAGCGAUGCAUACGUAAGGCGGAAGCGACGAUUUGAUAUCAAAUUUGAUUGGUUCGAAACCUAUCACGAAGAUGGUCGGACUGAUCAAACCAACAAAAAUCGCACUUAUGCCUUUCAUAUGCAUGCACAUCUCUUAUUAUCGUAAAAAUCAUCGUGAUUAUCGUUGUCGCCGAAGUCCCUUUUUUUUAUGGUACUUGCACACGAGAGAGAGAGAAAGAGAGAGAGAGAGAGGAGAGGGUAAAAACCUUUUNGAGAGGAAGGAGAGGAUAAAAACUUCUUUUUUGUUUCUCACCUUUUUUCUUUCUUCUUCUUCGUUCUUUUUUUUUUCUGCUUUGGUUCUAUUUCGGAUCUCUCUCCUCUUCUUUUUUUUUUUUUUUUUUUUGUAAGAAGCUUUAUAAUAAGCUUCUAAUGACCCUGUUUAUUUUUGAAAGUCAUUCAAAAAAAAUAUUCAAAAAGGAACAGUACCUUCAUAUAUGGAUUUUUUUUUUUUUACCUCUUGUUUUUAUGAAUUCUUUCUUUCCUUUCUUUUUUUUCUCAAAAGGGGAAAUGGGAUAUUUUUUUUUAUAACUUUUACAUCUUUCCUUUUUUUUUUAUUUCUUCCCCUUUUAUUAUUAUUAUUUUUUUCAUUUUUUUUUUUUACUCAAACAAAUUCAAUCAAAGCUAACCAACCAAAUUAGCCCUAAGUACUUUUUAAUUAAACGUGGACGAUCCAUGUUAAAGGUAACUGAAAGUAUGCAGACAUAAUUACAGAUUCAAUUCAAUAUUGCAUCACCUAUUCAUUUGUUAUGUCUUUAACUACCAUUGUAUUCAUAUAUUGGUGUGAACUUGCUGCUUCAGUUUUUCCUUUCUGGUUAAUUUGUUGACUCUUUAAAUAGUUAUCUAGCCAUAUACUGGUGCGCUGAGUUGAUAAAUUGACAAAUGUGUUAGAUAUAUUGUUAUUGGAUAUACUGUUAUGUAUAAUCUAAAUAAUAUGUUCAUAUUGAAUAUUUUGUUAUAAUAUAAUCCAAAUAAUAUGUUCACAUACAAGCCCAAUAGGUGAAAACGUAUUAAAGCCCAUAUUAACUGGAGCCCAAACCCUACGCUGGAGGUAAUACUGUUGAGCGUUCCAAACUUGACGUCUCUUGGUGUAAUACUUUAAGCACCCGAAAAUCCAUCUAUUCUCUAAAACGAUAACCUCCAACAAAAUGUACAUUGUAGAUCAAGAUUCAGUUCCUUUGUGCGCUGUUGAGGGUUGUGCGGCACUUGAAAAGCUGUUAGAGCCCCAGGAUUGUGUUGCCCAUAUCCUUCCUGUAAUUGUCUACUUCUCAUAGAUAUGCUGGGUGGCCUCCAUGAGUAGUACAAUCAAUUUUGAUUUUUGAGAGACACGUCUCUGCCCAUACAUGACGAUGCAAUUGUAAUUUAUCUACUAAUUUUUCUACUAAUAUAAAUAUUCUAUGCAUAAUUUGAAUUGCAGCUGAGAGUGAGAUUGCCCUGCUUACAGAAGAAGCUCAGAGGGCAACCUCUGCUUUACGUAUUGAUCUUGAGAAAGGUAGUCAUUAUUUGUCGUUACAGAUGUCUUUUUUUAUUAAAUAACAAAAAAAAUUGAAGGUAAAGAUGCUAGAUAAUUGUUUGGUCUUUAUUAAACUCUGUUGAAAUUUUAAUUUAGAAUCAUUAAUUGGUACAAUAUUGAUAUUUCAGACUGAUACAUAUGUUUUACUCUUUAUCGAGAUGUAUCUACUAAGGUAAUUGUGAGACUUGAAACUCUUAGGAGUUGGAGGCAAGACCUAUUUGUUGUCGAAUAGAUUAAUAAUGUGAAAGAUUACGAGUAUUGAAGAAGCAGGUUAAUUUUUUUAAUUGAUAUACGUCUUAAUUAUAAGAUACUGUUGGUUGUAAACGACUUCUAAUCCUUUUGUUCGUAAAUACUAAUUUAUUAGAAUUAUAAUUCUGAAUACUUUUGAAUGGAACGACGGAUUUGGAUUGUCCCUUAUGUAGAUUUAUUUAUAUGAAGCUUUAAGGGGGCGUUUGGAUUGACGAAUUUGUAGAUUCAACGUAAGUCAAGUGUAGUGGUGUUUGAGUUUUCCUGAAGUGUGAUUAUUUUUCUGUUGUUUGUUUUGACGUAACUCGUACCACUGAAAGUUAAAUUCAAUCACUUCUGCUGUUUGUUUUGAUGUAACUUGGUGCUGGUAAAAUUAGUUUUUUGAGUUCCGUUGUUUGUUUUGAUGUAAGGUAUGGAUCCCAUUAUCUCCUAAAUAUAGUAAUAAAUUUAUCACUAUAAAAUUUAACCUAUUAUAUAAUUAAAUUUUUUAUUAUUAUUUAAAGAUAAUCUUAAUUUAUUAUAAAUAAGGUAAUUCUAACCCAUUAUAAAGAAAGUAGAGUUUAGAUUUUACUGUUUAAUAAAUUGUUUAGAGAAGGUUGAGUGUGGUGGAAGUCGAGUUCGGUACUUUAGAGCCGGAAGUCGAGAGUAGGUGAAGUGGAGCUCUAACGUAACUUGAGUUACAUUAUAUUUUUCACUUACACCAAAACAAAUAACGAAAGUGAUGGAACUUGAGUUCCAUCACUCCACUUACACCAAAACAAACGGGCCCUGCUUUAAGUAGCUUCGAUAUGAAGCCUUUUUGUGUUCUGUAUGCAUAGCAUGCUGAUUAAAGCUUUCAUAUGAUAUGUUUGUCGUAACUUUUUGCUUACAAAAUUUCUCCCAUAACAUGCUCUAUUAAUUAUUGGCGAAUUUGCAAUGGAUGCCUUUUUUUAUUUUCACUUCUCGAACACCGUGGAGUAAUAUACUUAAUUUCUUUAGUUAUCUUAUUAAAUUUUAUGUAAUAUACUACUUGGCAGUAUUUCUUACUUUCUCCUACAACGACUGUUUGCCAAUAGAAUUAAUUUGUAGAUAGUAUGAAUCAUUUAGGUAAGUAAAAAUCUUUGUUGCAUUAUUUAUGGCAUGUCUGUGUCCUACAACUUGCUGGUAAUUUAUUAUUUUUUAAUUCUACUUUUCUCUUUCUGCCAUUUACUUCUGAUGUUUUCUUAUAAUAGAUUUUAUAUUAUCACCAUAUAACUAUACAUACAUAGAAAAUGAUAUUAGUUGAAUGGAUAUUAUUAGGAUUUUGUUACUAUGGUUGGAACUUCUGUUUUAGCUAAAGGAAUGCAAAACUGAUUCCUACACCCGCUCGCACACCCGGCCCCACUUAUGAACCUCGGACGCAUCUGCCCAUACCCUGCCCGUGCCCCCUGCUCGCAUGCUACAUCCACGCCCAGCACCUGCCCGCACCCGUCCCUCUGCCUCACUACCACCUAUCUCAAAAAUGUGGGCCCCACCGAAGCUCUCGGUUAAGGAGAGGCCUGCCGUAUCGUUUUUGUUCCCCCAAUUUAUAGUUAUAGAUAAAUGAGUUCAUAUUUAGUUUUUAAUUAUUGUAAAAAUAAUUUGUUUUAUAUUAACUUUUAUUCAUAAUAUUUAUGCUGGAUUUUUAUUCUACUAUAUUGUAUGCAAAUUUAUUUUAAAAUUUUUAUGCAUCAUAUUAUCUUUAUUUUAUAUCCAUUUUUAGUAUAUUUUUAUUUCGUAUAUUGUAUGUUUUCAUAUGUUUUGAAAAUUAUACGUAUCUAAAAAAAUUGUGAAAAACUACCGUCAUUUCCUGCAUACAAANCAGAUUUAAUUACCUACGAAGGCUAAAAAAAAAAAUUGAAAACCUGGUCCAACUUCAAUUCAGAGGAAAAAUCCAAAGGGGAAAAAUAAGCAGCUACCAUCAAUUAGAGCCCUAAUAUAUAUACCAACCCGGAGCAGAUUUGCAAAAAAGUCUGAUUUUCCACGGCAAAUGGCUAUGUAAUAUAAAUCACAUCAAACAGUUUUUUGUAUGCAGGAAAUGACGGUAGUUUUUCACAAUUUUUUUAGAUACGUAUAAUUUUCAAAACAUAUGAAAACAUACAAUAUACGAAAUAAAAAUAUACUAAAAAUGGAUAUAAAAUAAAGAUAAUAUUUAUGCUGGAUUUUUAUUCUACUAUAUUGUAUGCAAAUUUAUUUUAAAAUUUUUAUGCAUCAUAUUAUCUUUAUUUUAUAUCCAUUUUUAGUAUAUUUUUAUUUCGUAUAUUGUAUGUUUUCAUAUGUUUUGAAAAUUAUACGUAUCUAAAAAAAUUGUGAAAAACUACCGUCAUUUCCUGCAUACAAAAAACUGUUUGAUGUGAUUUAUAUUACAUAGCCAUUUGCCGUGGAAAAUCAGACUUUUUUGCAAAUCUGCUCCGGGUUGGUAUAUAUAUUAGGGCUCUAAUUGAUGGUAGCUGCUUAUUUUUCCCCUUUGGAUUUUUCCUCUGAAUUGAAGUUGGACCAGGUUUUCAAUUUUUUUUUUUAGCCUUCGUAGGUAAUUAAAUCUGUGGGUUUUUUUUUUUUUUUUUUGGUUGUAAAGUGUAAACUUAUACUAAUCAGUGCUUUUUUAUGUCUUCGAAUUUUCUUGAAGUUUUACUAAAUUAAGCUUGAUGUCGAAUAUAGAACGCCGGCUUUUUUGAAGAUCAGGCUUUUUGGGUUUGGGUGUGUUCUACUACUUGCGCAAAGUACGGCAAUGAUUUAUACCGCAUAGCCAUUUGGCAUGUAAAUGUAGACUUUUUUGCAAAUCUGCUCCGGGUUUACAAUUGCUAUAAAUACUUCUACGUACCUCUUAUUCUUAUUUUUUGUGACUUUGCUCUAAUACAGUUGAUGCUGUUAUUAAAUUACCAGGAGCGUGUAAAACUCCUGAAGAUAUUGAUGAGUUCUCAAAAAAUUUUAUAUUACAUAUGAUUAUGCAUUUUUACUUCAUAUCUUUGGAUAGGAUUCAGAAUUAUUAUUAUUUUAUUAUUACUAUAAUUAUUAUUAUCUUUAUCUUUAUAAACAGAAUCCUAAAGAAAGUCUCUCUUUAUUUUAGGGGUUGUGGGGCCCAUAUGUGAACUUUACUAUUUUUUAUUUUGAUCCUUAAGCUUUUUUUUGCAAUCAAAUUUUUAAUAUCUUUAUAUUUUUAAACGUGAAUGGUGAACCUUAAAGGUGUCCCUUUAUUUUAAGGGUUGUGUUCCAAUCUUUUUAUUAUUUUUUAUUUUAUUUCUUAAUUUUUUUUACAAUAAAAUUUUAAAAUUAUAAUAAUUUACCGUGAUAAUAUCUUUCCGCCGCAUCGCGCGGGUCCCAUAACUAGUUUAUAAAUAUACUACACUUUCCAACCUUCUACACCCUUUUGCAUUCUUAUCGUUGACCCAAGAGCUAAUAUCUUGAACUCACCAAUUCUCUUGGUUUAUGUGACCAAUUCUCUUGGUUUAUGUGAGUAGCAUGCAUGCACCUUACGAGAACAUGUGAACUUAAUAGUAUUUUCACCACUUUUUGGACUUAGCUUAUAUGUGUGAGAAUCCCUUUAUUUUUAAUUAAGAGAAAGUUAUUUCUUGUUCUCCAUUGUUCUUGUUCUUCUUCUCUAGUUUGGUAUGAUCUUGGGCUAGUGGUAUUCUUGAUCCACUAUUUGAAGUAGUGGGUUUCCAAUCGACGGAUCUCGCUAUUUCGUUACAGAGAGAUUGUUCCCAAAGCAUCAUCAACUGUUUUGUCUUGUAGAUUGCUAGUCGAGGGGCCGACUGGGCCUUUCGGAAGAUCAUACCAUUCCUGAUCUCCCAAGUGACCCACCAAGAGGCUACUAAUCCGAUUAACCAAAUACUCAUUAACCGUGCUCCAUACCCACCCAUCCAUCUAUCGCAUACCUAGUGCACAUCGUUUCCCACUUCUCUAGGCUGUACCGUUGCCUAGGUCAUCACCAAUAGAAAUCUAGAAAAAACACAUCAUGUGAAUAAAUGAUCUAAAGUUUCCACUUCAGAUCCAUACAACACAUAGUUUGUGCUGCCAGUCUAACCUCUCUUAAUAAAGUUAUUACCUGUAAGGAGCCUCUUCUUAAAGACGAGCCAGCAAAACACUUUCACUUUUAGUGGAGUUCGAAGUCUCCAAAUCUUGCUCACUCGGACGUCCCUUGUGCCCCCGUCGCUCAGCGCUGAGUAGGCGGAUUUCACUGUGAACCGCAUGUCAGGGUUCCAUCUUCAAUGCACACUAUUUGGUCUCUACUCAAUUUUGAAGUCGGAUAUCUUUAUUGAUUAAAUAUUAUUAAUGUAUUUUAAUGCUUGAUUAUAGUGUUUGAUUAGUUGUCCAUGACCAAUCCUAAGUCGAACAGAAGAGAAGAAAUUUUUUUUUCCAUAAUGUAAGACUAUAUAUUUGGUUCUAUAUAUAUAGCGAUAACUUAUAAUUGGUUUAUCUUUUCAAAGUUUAACUUCUAUAAAAUUUUUAGAGUAUCGAAUUAAAGUUUGAAAAGUUAAACCACUAAUUUAUUAUAAAAUACGUAUAAAGUUGAUUUUAUCAACAAGAUUUUCAAGUGCAUCUUGAUAUAUACAGAUACGAUUACUUCUACUCUGUAUGGAUGAAGUGAAAAAGAGAGAAAAAACUCUGUAUCGAUGCAGUGAAAAAGAGAGAAAAAAAAAGACAGUUAGGAAAGAAAAAUAAUUUUCUCACGUUUGGAUCAAAAUUUGAGGAGAAAAAAAAGAAGAGAAAUGAAGAAAAAUUGAGAGAAAAUGAUCUUUCAUAAUUGUCGCCCUUUUUUCCGUUUUUCAGAAGUAAAGAGAAAUGGAGUAGAAGGAAGAUAAAGUUAUUCUCCCUUCUUCCCUCCUUAGUCGAAACAACACAAGAGAAAGUUACUUCUUUUUUUUUUUCCAUGUCCUAUUCUCUUCAUGGAAAUGAAGCAUUAUUAUAAAACAAUUCCACACAUACCUUGUUUUUUUUUUAGGAAAGAGAGAGAGAGAAAGGUAGCAUGCUACCGACUUCGUUUAUUUUUUAAAAAAAUAAACUUAGUUAAAAAUAUAAAUCAACUAGGAUUUGAAUUUGAAACCUCGGAUAUCAACUGUCAAGUUUUUUACCACUUGCAAUAGGAACGGUCGGUGCACAUAUCUUGUUGAUAGGAGAAGAAAUAGACAUGAACCUUCAAAAAACUAAACCAAUCCCUUAUUAACUACAAAACCUACUUGAUCAUGAUGCAGUUUGAGACAUACAUAUGUAUCAUUACUAUUUCAGCAAGUAUAUCCACCAAAAGGAAAAAAAAAGAGAGAGUACAGUAUCUAUAAUAGGCACAAAAAUGAUCAUUAACCAACUAGAACAUGUACACAUUUCAUUUCUUUUUACUACUCCCUCAUUCAUUUAUUCAUUCAAUACUUUAGAAACUCUACGUCACUCGAACUUAGAAUUAUAUUGAACUUAGGAGCAUUUCGCCAUGCUACAAUAUUCAGCCGGUAGAGAACGGUAUACAACGGCGCUACCUUCAAAGCUUGUCACACUGAGCGGGAGCAAAAGACAACUUCUCGUUCUCCAAGUCGUAGAGCACCUUCAUGUUUUGCUGCUGUAUAUUUCCGAUGACGGAGCUAUCGCCGUUGUUGGCUAUGUUGACGCACAGCACGCGGUCGCCGUUCUGAAACAUGUAGUUCUCCUUCGGCAGGUCCAUGUUGGCGCCCAGAAAAUGGAAUACGAGCUGCGGCACCUUCACCGACGCCGUGUCGUUCGUCGGCGUCUUGAAGCAUAGCCCGAACGACCCCGUCUUGUCCUCGACCACCGGGAGCUUCACGUAGGACUUGAACGCCUUCGCCGCCUUCUUGUACGCGACGUUGACGAGCCCCGUGACUUGCGUCCCCGAGUCGACGAUCACCCCGCCGGUGCCGUCCUUCCUCAGCUCGAACGCCGACUUCGGUAUCUUGAGCCGGUUCUUGCCGACCGUAAUUCCGAGCAGCGACACGUAGUAGAAGGUCAGCACGCUCGGGUUCUGGAGCAGCGGGGUGGUGAGUAUCGGGCCGCCUCCUAAGUUGUCGGCGAGCGGGCCGAAGAAGAGGGUGCUUUGCUUGGACUGGAGUAGGGGGGUGAAGCAGUAGGCGAAUUUUCGGAUGCCGAGCUGGGAGAUGAGCGAGAGAGGGUUGCGGCCGAAGCCGACGAUCCCCGACCCGCCGUUCAGGUCGCCCCAGUUGUCGUGCCCGCAGCCAAAGCCGAGGCCGGGGACCCGGACCUUCGCGACCGAGCCGAAGGUGAAGGUCUCGGUGGCGAGGGCGCCGAUCGACGACGUGAGGUCGCCAUAUCUGUAGAUGUAGACGCAGUGCUGCUGGUCCGCGCUCAAGAUGCUAUUGUCGAUCUCCAGGGCCUGACACAGCUUGCUGGCGUAGGGCAGGUCCGAGUAAGUGGAGGACUUCGAGGGGUCGAAGAGAUGCGCCGGAACCUGGUAAGCCGUUCGUACUAUUUGAAUGCAUGAAUAUUUUAUUCUAAAUAUUCUUUAAUUAUACAUCCAAAACAGAUAAGAUAUUCGGCUUAUCAAAUUAUUAUUAUCAGGUAACUUUUUCUAGUUGUUUAAGUUUUUUUUUUACUCAAUUAAUAUAUAUAUAUAUUAUAUAGUUGUGUGGCCUGCGAUCGUAACAUGUGAUAAAUUGAUUAUAGGAGUUCUUGAAAACUCAAAAGCUCUAACAAGUGAUAUCAAAACAAAUGUUAAAUUUUUAGCGAAUUAAUUCGGAUCGUUUUCUGAACACAACCUUGAGGCACUUGAUGCAGGGUUUGCAUUGGGUCCAGAUGAGGUCGCUGCCGGUGUCUAGUAUCACCGUAAAGGGCAGCGGCGGCGUGCCGAUGGCUAAGUCCAUGAGGUACUCGCCCUCACCGGGGCUUACCAGAAUGUGGGAUUUCGUGAGUGUGGUAGGGUCGACGCCGCCGCUGGCGGCGGCUUGCACUCCCAAGAGCCACAUCGCACGAGCCUGGCUCCGGCGGGCUGCGCGGCAGAGGAGCUCCGGCUUGGUGAAGUUGCGCCCGGCGUCGACGUGGGUUAGCUCAAUGCGCAAGUCCAGAAAAGCUGCAGAUGUGGUGACAAAAAUCAGGAAGCUUAUUAGGACUGAGGAAAGGAGGGAUUGCAUUUUGAAUCGGCUCAUGGUGUUGGUAAUAGGCAUUGCUUGGAAAGUCAACAGGCACUUGUUGUGGGAAGAACGUGUGGGUGUACCCGUGGUAUAUAUUGCAGGGGUGUCAACGAGCCGAACACAAGCGAGUUGGAUCAACUCAUAUUCGGUAACGAGACGAAGACGAACUAACUCGUUAAAGUACCAAAUCAAAAAAUUUAGCUCAUAUUUGGCUUUUUAAACACGAGCUGACUCACGAGCUGACCAAUAAACAAUACGUUAAAUAAAUUAGAUUGGAUAUAUAUAAAAAGAGUUGAGCUAGAAUACUAUCGGUAGUAAACGAGCCAUUUUACUACCGAUUUGUUUUCGAUGAUAGAGCUUCCAAAUUGACGAUCGGCUCCGUUAAAUAUGAUCUAAACCAUUUAAACUACCUAGAAAUUAAAUUUCACGCACUUUCGAUAUUGUUCUUUUAUCCAUCAAGUGAACAGAAAAAUGAAUGGCUGAAAAUGAAUACUCUGUAAAAAAAUGAUGAUAGGAGUCUUGUAAUCAAGAUCAAGAGUAUAGAUCUUGUUUUAAAUAGUUCAAAGAAUUUUCUAACAAAAAUUUAAUUGAUUUGGAUAUCUUUACGCCGUUAAACGAGAAAACGCCUCUUAUCGACCAUUAAAAUUACAAAUUUUGAGAUCCUUUGAUCAUUAGGCAAAUGAUGUCGAAAAGAUUUGAAAUUUGAUUUCUAAACACUUCAAGUGGUAUAGAUCAUGUUCAACGGAGCCGAUCGUCAAUUUGGAAGUUCUAUCAUCGAAAAUAAAUCGGUAGCAAAACAGCUCGUUUACAACCGAUAGUAUUCUAGCUCAACUCUAUAUAAAAAAUAAAUUUAUAAAAUCUUAUAUAUCCUUUUAGACUUUGAUCGAAUUAAUGGUUGAAACUUUACAUAUAAAUAUUUUUUUUUUUUUAUAAUUGAGCUCGGUUUUAUAUUAUUUUUGCUAAAAAUCAAUCAAAGGCCAAUUUGCAUAAAAAAUUCACUUAUUUUGGACUUUUGCAAAACGAUGCUGCCUUUUUCGCUUUUGCAGAUUCGGUCCGCUUUUUCAGCAAACUGACCAAAAUACCCUUAUAUCUUUUUCUCUUUCCUCUUUCUCUCUCCUCUUCCUUUCUCUCGCUCUUUUUCUUUCUCUUCCCAGAGAGCGGCGGAGACGUAGCGGAGGCGCCCUUAUACCUUUUUCUCUCUCCUCUUUUUUCUCUCGUUCUUUUUUUUUUCUCUUCCCAGAGAGUGGCAGAGACAGGCGGAGGCGGCCUGCUUCGAUUUUGUCCGGCGCAUCCUUACUCUCACCCGCGCCGCCUCUGCCCCGGCCCGCCGCCGAACUCUUUUUUUUUUUUCUUUUCCCUCUUCGCACUUCCCUCAACUUGUUACUCCGCCGACACCGCCUACUUGCCUUCUGCCGCCGUGUCCUUCGCCUCGUCUCCUACUCUGCCAAAGAGCCCGCCUCCCGCCGACGCUGACAAUCUUCGCCAGGAGAGCCCGACGAACGCACCCCUGUGGACCCUGCUCCCCUGCCGCGUACUUCGGCCGCAACCUACGGAGCGAGUGCGGUCCUUUGAUUUAAGGACGACCGUCACAGUCAGCCAGGCGCAAAAAAUUAAGCAAAACGAGGACUUCCGUUACGACCUCGUUAGGCAGGACGGGAACCCACGAGAACAAAAACAAACAAAUAACAAAACACAAAAAAAAAAAAACAGAAGAACAUGAAUAAAAUAAAAAGACAAGCAAAGAAAUAAAAAUAAUAGAAAAAAGAAAAGAACAAAGCACAAUAGAACAAUAAAAAUACACAAUAAAGAAUAAAAUAACUGACAAUAAAGAUAAAAAUGAAUCUGAUUAAAACAAAAUGUAAACUAGUAGACUUUAAAAGAUAGCAAUAAUCACUCUAAUGGAAAGACAAACACCGCAAUAUACUUAAACAAACAAUAAUUAAAUCCAAAUAAUCUAUACAAUCAUCCAGUAAAUUGCACUCAAAUUCAAGAAUACAUACAACCAAUGCAACUCCAAUUAAGCAAGGCAACGAUAUACUCUAUACAACAAUUCACCGCCCAACAUAUGAACAUGUAUCCUACACUAUUGUUGACACACUUUUUCCUCUAAUGCAUAAAUAACAUAUAUAAUAUUAAAUAAUUAACUGCACCCCCCUUAUACAACGCCACAGAAUAUUUAAUAAGAAUAAAUAAAUAAUAAUACUACAAAUAACUUGUUGAAAUGUUUCUCCUCUUUAGUGUGCACCCCUUUCUCUCCGUGUUUCCACUAUUUUUAGAUGCUCACCUGCCCCCAUUUCAGCGCAAGCAUAAUUCUCUCUGAUCAUUCUCUUGUUGCCCUGAUUUAAGCUUCUAUUUAUUGCCCUCAUUUUUUCGUCAUGGCUUCCCACAAUGAGAACCACAGAACAUGCCUGAUAAUGUAAGACGAAAGAAAGCACCGUAAUCUCCUAAUCUUUUCACGGGAAAUGCUCACGUUUCCGCUCCACAACAGAAUGGGGCAAUCACCGAGGCAGGCGAAAUUGCGUGCCAACCCAGUGAAACAGCCUAGAAUGCAACCCGCGCGAGCAACUGUCUAACGUUCUAUCUUACGAGGACUGUGCAGCUUUCAACGCUACAACACUGUAAGAGCAUAUACCCAAGCGGAGACCAAUUUGGCUGCCCCAGAAGCGAAUACGCCCGUGCAUGCUAUUGCUUUAAAAGCGUGUGAACUUUCAAUAUCAUGCGCUGCCCGUUUUUCCCUCUGCACAAGAGCUCGCACUAAGUCAUCGAUGGCCGUGUACUUCUCUCUCCAAAAACCGUGUCAAUUUUCGUUUAAACCGAGGUAAAUUUUCUCUGUCCACCUGCUAAGUUUCGACUCUUCACGCCUUGCCACUUCUUCAUUUUUUGGUUAGCCACGUUACACGCUGCACUUUCCUCUCUUCCUUACUAUUUUCUAAUAAUUGUUAAUCUAUUUUUUUUCUAACCCCAUGUUUUUUCUUCUACCAUUUUUUUUGGCCCUCCAUCUCUUCGCAACUCGUAACUCGCUACAUUAACCUGCCCUCAGUGCCCUGGUGCUGCCAACAAAGUUUUUGGCCAUUAGGAUUACAAGAACGAUGUGCCGAGUAUAGGGGAAACUGUGUGGGCCCUCAGGUUGAGUGGUGUUUGGUAUGAAACUAGUCCUCUGCGCUCAACGGAGCUGCAUGGAAUGGACCCUGUAGACUCUACCGGCCGCCCCUUUGGUAGACCCAGUGCCCCUUCUUUCUAUCAACUUAUAUAUCUACUGAAUUAGCAAAACUAAGGCUACUAUGUUCUUACUAGCCCCGUGAUCUGGUGCCUGCAAAGUUUUGGUCAAUUGGCUUAAAGAGCUGUGCCGGUUAACAGGUACUGGAUGUGGGCCCCCUAGGGUUGAGUGGGUGUGUUGGUUGCUCAGUAAUGAAUCUACGGGUGAAUAAUGGACAAAAUGGUGACAAUUAACCCCGGCGGACCUUUGGUGCUUAGCCACGCUGUUCAGGCUCAUUAUAAGCUAGUGUCGCCCGGACCCUCUAUAUAAUAUAAUACUAAUAAAUAGAAGAAGGAGGAACGCGCAGAGCAACGCCGCCGACGAGGCCCCACGUAAAGUAGCCGCCCGAACGAGCAAAACGAAAUCCACCCGCACCAAAAAAAGCCCCAAUAAGUACAACUCCUAACAGGAACAGAAACUAUUAAUACCAUGCAUCGCCAAACGGGACAUAACGCAAGAACCUAUUAGUGUGAAGUUGUAAUCGCUCACCUGGUCCGAUAUGGCAGGCCCCAUCGGACAUACGAUUGAGACCACGACACGAAAAACGAAGAGAGAGCAGCAUAGAGAAGGAGCCUUAGCAGAUAACUCUCAAAAGACCACCAUGAAAAGUUCGAUUGCUUUUGAGUUUUUAGCCAUUGGAUGGAUGGAUGUAAGGUUGAGAUGAUGGUGGUAGAUGAAUAGUGUUUGAUCAAGGCGCUAUUAUAAUCAAAGAGUAGUCCAAGGGAUAAAACCUAAUAGCACCAAAGGAGUGUGAUAAUUCUUAAAAAUAUAUUCAUAGCUCAAUUUAUAUAUAUAUAUAUUAAUAUAUUAUAUAUAUAGAAUUAGGCUGGAAUACUAUUAAUGUAAAACGCUCUUUUUGCUAUCAAUUUUUAACCCUUGGAGAUGAAAAAUGUUAGGGUCGGAUGAUAUUAGUCGGUUAGAGUUGAGUGUCCCACUGGGUUAUAGUAUUUAAUCCAAUGGUUAGAAUAAUGAAAAGAGUUUGAUCAAGGCUAAAAAACUGGUAGCAACAAUAAAAUUUUGCUAUUAUAGGAGCCAGUUCAACUAUAUAUAUAUAUAUAUAUAUUAUAUAUAUAUAUAUAUUAUAUAUAUAUAAUAUAUAUAUAUUAUAUAUAAUAUAUAUAUAUAUAUAUAUAGGCGAAUUUGCAUAAAAAUCCUAUGGUCCGCAUGAACAAAAGUAUGCGGCCGUGGGGAUACGUUCGUAUAAAUAUUAAUUGUGUGGAGUCUAAUCAAACUCCAAACAAAAUUAAGAUAUAUAAGAGUGCCCUAUCACUACCAAUAGUCACCUUCUAUCGCAUCUUUCUUUGUUGAGCACUAUAUAUAUAUAUAUAUCAGGGCUGCUGUGCUCUCAGGAGCACGGAGGCCUCCGUGUUCCUGAGCUGUUUUGGAUAAUGGAAUUUUCGAAUCGACGAUCAGCUCCAUUAGACUUGAUCUAGGGUAUUUGAAGUUUCUAAAAAAUAAUUUUUGCGAUUUUUUGAUAUCAUUUACCUAGUGAUCGAAAUGAUUCAAAAUCAAUAAUUUUUAAUGGUUGAUAUCUGUCGUUUUCAAGUUUAACGGUGUAGAAGUAUUCAAAUCAGAUAAAAUUUUGAUACAAAAUUCUUUAUACUAUCUACAACAAGAUUAAUAUUUCUGAUCGAAAAUUUUAGUGUUAUAUGACCACUUUUUAUAGAAUUUUUAUUUUCAGCCGUUAAAAAUUAUUGAUUUUGAAUCCUUUUGAUUGCUAGGUAAAUGAUAUCGAAAAAUUACAAAAAUUAUUUUUUAGAAACUUCAAAUGCGCUAGAUUAAGUCUAACAGAGCCGAUCGUCAAUUCAAAAUUUUCAUCAUCGAAAACGGCUCAGGAGCACGAAGGCCUCCGCCGUGCUCCUGAGAGCACAACAACCCUGCUCUCUCUCUCUCUCUCUCUCUCUCUAUAUAUAUAUAUAUAUAUUGGCCAAUUUGCAUAAAAAAUCCACUAAUUUUGGGCUUUUGCAAAAGUGGGCCACCUUUUUUAUUUUUGCAGAUUCGGUCCAAAUUUUCAGCAAACUGACCAAAAUAUCCUUAUUACUUUUUCUCUUUCCUCUUUCUCUCUCCUAUUCUUUUCUCUCGUUCAUUUUUUUUUUCUCUCACCAAAGAGGCAGCGGGCACAUAGACGGAAGCGAAAACGGCCCGUCUUGCCUCUUACCCUCAUGCUCUCGCCCUCGCCCUCGCCCUCGCCCUCACCCCCGCACCGCCCACCUUCCUCUCCUCCGACCCCACUAAGGCCGUGCUGCGACUUUUUUUUUUUUCCUCUCCUACUCUCAUCCACCGUCUCCGACGACGACGCCUCUCGCGCCCUUCCCCGCCCUUCUCGUCCUCUCCCUCUCCCUCCUCCUCUGCCGCCUUCGACGAUCUUCGCUGACGCCGACACCGUGGAGGUCGCUGCGGCGCUGCAGCCUCGGAGCGGGGAUGAUAAAGUUUUAGUGGGGAGCUCCCCCACGACGCUUUGUUAGAGAGCUCGUGAUCUAUUACCGCAUAUCAAUUUUACCUUUAUAUAAAGAUUCGUUUGCUAUUUUUUAAUAUUUUUUUUUUAAAGAAGAGUAACCUUUAGGAGAAAAGUUUAACUGUUACAAGACAGCAUCAAGAACUUCUCAAUGAGGCUUUAUUGGAAAGCUCCCCACUGAAUUAUUUUUUUUUCCCCAUUUAGCAUAUCUCGUCCUCGUGAUUCACGCCAUGGUCCACAUGAACAAAAGUAUGCGGCCGUGGGGAUACGUUCGCAUAAAUAUUAAUUGUGUGGAGCCUAAUCAAAUUCCAAACAAAAUUAAGAUAUAUAAGAGUGCCCUAUCACUACCAAUAGUCACCUUCUAUGGCAUCUUUCUUUGUUGAGCACUAGCGCUUUUGGAUACUUUAAUUAUUGUUAUUCCUUGUGUAGUGGUGGAUACAUUAUUUUAGGUUAGUGUUGGGUUAACAUCUUGGAGUAAUCUUUGUUGAUGUGCUUCUUCUAAAAGCAGGAGGACCUAGAGUUUUUGUUGGCCAAUGUGUAAAAGUUUAUUUAUUUGAGAGUUAGAGUUAGAAAACUUCUAUAAGUUUCAAAUAUUUAGGAUGUUUUUUUUUUUUUUUUAAGAAUAGAUAGCUCGCUAUCUGCUUCAUUCAUUGAAAGAGUGAAUUAGACUACAAGGGUGAGACAACCAGGGCCUCGGAAAGGGGGGAAAAAAAUCAUAGACAUAAUCGAUCAACAGCUCGUGAACUUUUUGAGACAUAUGUCUCAUUGUUUUUAAUAAUGAGACAUAUAUCUCGGUUGACAAUUGAGAGUUGUUUUAAUAAUGAGACAUAUAUCUGAGUUGAGUUGACAAUUGAGAGUUGUUUUUAAUAAUGAGACAUAUAUCUGAGUUGACAAUUGAGAGUUGUUUUUAAUAAUGAGACAUAUAUCUGAGUUGACAAUUGACAAUUGAGAGUUGUUUUAGACAUAAUCGAUCAACAGCUCGUGAACUUUUUGAGGACUGAAUUUUGUGAUGUUUCCGGCGUUAUUUAUUGAUUUUUCGUGUGGUAUCAACAUUAAAAAGUUUUUAGGGUAAAUAUGAGGUGUAGUUGAGACCGCUAAAUCACUAAGAAUGGAAUAUGAGAAAAGCCAAAAGAUCUGGUUCUAACAAGUUCAAAUACCACAAAUACUGGUUAACUCCGUCAAUCGUUAAUUCGGAUGCUCUAUCAACAAAACUGAUUGAUUUGGAGGUAUCAAAAGCUUGAUGCUUUUAAAAGCAUUCCAACUCAAUUUUGAGCUAUUGAGCUACACUACUUUUAAAAGCAUCAAGUUUUGAUGCUUUUACGUUGUUUUCAGUGACAGAACAUUCUAACCGACGAUCGACAACAUUACAUAAUCUAUGGCUCGUAAAAUGUUUAGAUCGUAAUUUUAUAAAUUCUUAAUAUUAUUUAAUUAUUUAUUCAGAUUGGAAAACUCUAGAUUGAAAGAGGAAUUUGCUUGGAAGGAUAAGUGUAAAGAAGAGUCAUAUCUAAUAAUAUAGACUUUUGAAUGGCCAGGAUGGUAGAGUGCCACUCUGUGGACUCUUGUGUGAAUCGAGAAAACCUACUUGUAUGUGAUAUGUCGUGGUGAUGGACCAUACAACUAGUUAAUACAUUCUUGUCCGAUCCACACGACGAGGAUGAAGAAUAAUUCUGCUCUCGAAAGAAAGUAGUAUCCAGUGGUGGGUCCCGAGACGUGACACCUUAGAUCAUGUGUAAUAAUUAUAAAUAUUGAUUAUUGAUUUGAAUGCCGCAUCAUUAAAAAUGAUGUGAUCUCUUUUCAUGUCCUAUUGUAGAUGCCUUACCAUUGCGAUACUGCCGAGUUGGCAAUAAGAAAUGUAGCUUUCAUUCACCAUUAACUAUCCACUUGAGAGGAAUUAAUUACAUCUUUUUGGUGGGGAUGUAGCCCAAAUUAUGUUGAGGCCUAGGGUGCGAAGAAAAAUUUUCUUAAAGCCAAAUUAUGAAUGUGCUCGCUGGGUAGUUCGUUUAAGUUUUGUAGCUUUUAAUUCGAUUUUUUUUUUUGAUGGACCUAAUUCUCGUAGAUCAAAAGUUGCUCUAAUGGUUUAUAUCUUUGGUUAUAUUAUUCCUCUAAUUAGUAUUCUCAUGGUUAUAUUAUUCCUCUAAUUCUGAUGUCACCUUUAAUUUGUUCUCAUCCCCUAAAGCUUGUAGAUUAAUUAUAUAUAUGCAGUUAUGCUCUUUUCUUUCACAUGUAAUUUAUAAUUAUUUAUUUACGCUUACCUAUUAAAUCAGCUACUUAUUUAUAUUCUUCUACGUACAUGUAUAUAUAUCAAAUUUAUAUACUUGAAAUUUCUGUAUUUUUACAUGUAUAUAUAAGUACUUUUUUUAUAGGUCCUCUCAUAUAUUGCUUUACAAAAUUUUAUGGGCACACCUUAAUUAAGAAAGGUGGGUCUAUUUUGUAUGUUCUUAAUCGAUUUCUUAUUAAAUAAUCUUUUAAGUAACAUGCUAUUCGAGCCAACUUAAGCCAAUUAUGUUUUGUGACUAGUCCAUUGAUUGAUCUUAUUCUUUCAUUUUUACCUAGUUGCAAAUUAAUUCAAUUUAUACAAGCAAUUGACAAACAAAUAGCACACCAAUGUGUGACCAUUUUUCUCAUGUAUCUAACAAUUUCUAUCUAGCUAGUAGAGAAAUCAUAUAACUUCAUCUACUAACCAUUUGUUUUGGCAAUUAUUCGCCUCUCAAUCCCCCUAAAACUUAUCAACACUACAGGAAAAAAAAAAAAAAAAAAAAAAAAAANNNNNNNNNNNNNNNNNNAAAAAAAAAAAAAAAAAAAAUUCAAUCCUUAAGAUGCCAUCCAUCCUCUUCUUCUUUCUUAUUCCCCUUCUUUCACUCCGAAUGGACCUUUCGCGCGCCAACGCCGACCGCAACUUCAAUAAGUUCGAUCUUCUUCAUCGUGCCGUUGUCUGUAGAAAGGCGCGAGUUGCGAGGCUAUUUUCGUCAGUGCUCAAACUUAUCUGAACUCAGUGCAACCCCCGCAUCAAGUGCUCCUCCAGUUUCUAUAUCCUUCUCUGCUCCGCUGAGCCAUGUCGAGAACUUUUCGGUGCAUGUGGUGAAAAUCUAUGCAUUUACAUUUAUAACUACGGUAGCGCGAAAACCCGAGGCUCUCUCGCUGAUCAAGAGACCUUCACCUUCGGGUCGAUUAACAAAGUUAGUGUUUCUAACACAGUCCUCGACAUUAUCGGCAUUGACCGCGAAAGUUCAUCUCUUGUGUCUCAGCUAGCAAUCCCCAAAUUCUCCUACUGCCUCGAUCCCAACAACGAGUCCAAGAAAAGGGCAUUCAUAUUCGACUCACUCAUCGACAUAAACCAAAGUACUGCUAGCUUAUAUUUCAAUACAUAACAUUCUGAGCAUUCUGGUUUCAGCAUCUGUUGUUAUAAACCUUAACAGAUACUUUGCCGCUUAUGAGAUGAGGCGGAGAGAAAUGACAAUAUAUGCAGAGCAUAGAUGUACCGAUGCAUCAGACACCGACAAUAAUUUCUUCAAUAGCUUUUCGAAACAGUCAAGUAAAAUUAAAAUUUGAAAAGGUUAAACGCUCAAACAGAAGAAAGUCAAGUAUCUAUUUGCAAAGUAAGUUUCGGCUGGGCUUGGGUAUCCGCAAUACGAUUGAAAUUUGGGCCCAAACUAUUUUGAGCCCAUUUGGGGUUUUCCAAAAUCCGGCCCAAGUCCAGCAAAAAAGUCUAGAGAAACUCUGUUUGAGUUUGUAUGUGCAUGUAUGUAAGGGUUGACCAUAUACAAAUGGAUCCGAGUUCGACCUACCAUUUCCAAAUGAGGUAGUAAGUGAGAACAAAAAAUAAAUAAAAAAAUAUAAUCCGUUCUAAAUCUGUCCCGAUCUACUAAGUAAAUAGAGCAGAAGGCGAGAGACCCUUUUUUUUUAUAUCCGUUCCAAUUUGUCAAUAACUUGCCCGCGCCCCAAUCUACUCCUGGAUACGCCUUGUUUGACACGUGUAUAUUAUCUAUGCUUAUGCUGAUAUAUUAUUUAAUUAUUUAAUUAAUGGUAUUCUUAAUAUCAAUUUUUUAUAUAUUAUAGGACAUGUAAAUUUAUAUUUUAAUAUUUAUAUAGAAUUUGCUCUUGAAAAUGGGCUUAACAAUGCCCAUUGGGUAUUGGGCUUUGGACCUUAGUCGGGUUCAGGCUUCAUUGUCUCAGGCCGAAGCCCGGCAAAUUUCAUCACUUACUUUUGAGAUUCACGUAAACCACUUUUGUUUUUGGAACGACUAAAAAAAUUCAAAAGCCUCUUCAAAAAUCCAAAAGAUCAAACAUAAUGAUCAACAAUGGAACAACAACAACAACAACAACAACAUCUAUUCCUCUUUAUAACGAUGAAUACAAAUGAUCAGCAAUAUGUAACACGAAAGCGAAAACGUAGUCCUCUUUCACAACCGGUCGCACUGCGCGGGCGCGAACGACAACUUGCCGUUGUCGACAUCAUAGAGUAUCUGCAUGUUCUGCUGCUGGAAGUUCCCCAGAAUCGACAUCCCGCGCGACCCCAUCACCGUCAGGCACAGCAAUCCGCUGCUCGAAUCUCCGAUCAUGUAGUUGUUCGCGGGAAGGUCCAGAUCCGCGCCAUCGAAGUGCAGCACCAGCUUCGGCACCUCCACCGACGACGACGCGUCCGACGGCAGCGAAAAGCAAAGGUCGAGCCCGAUCGCCGACCCGUCCGCCACCGGGAGCUGCAUCUGCGCGGCGAACGCCUUCUUCAGCGGCUUGUAUCCGGCUUGCUCGAGGUACGUGAUGGAAGUUCCUGAGUCUAUUAUGAGGCCCCCGGUUCCAUCCUCUUGCAGUGCAAAUGUUGAGCUCGGUAUUUGUAGAGGAGUUGCACCCACUGUUAUGCCUUUUAGGGUGAGGUAGUAAAAGGAUGCUUGUGUAGGGUUUUUCACUAGUGGUGUUGAACUUGCACCGGAGCUUAGAUCAGCUAAGGAGCCAAAAAGGAGAGGGCUCUUUUUUGAUGAGUCUAGAGAGGUGAGGCAAUAGGAGAAUUUGCCUAGGCCGAGUUGGGAGAUGAGAGAGAGAGGGCCCCGGCCGAGGCCGACGAGCCCCGCGCCCUGCGAGAACCCGUCGCCCUCGUUCGUGUCGCCGCACCCGAACGCGACGUGACCGACCUUCGUCGACCCGAACGUGAAGGUCUCGCUCGCGAGGACCCCCUGGGUCGAGGAGGAGUCGCCGUAGGAGUAGAGGUACUCGCAGUCGGACUUGCACGAGAACGUCGGCAGGGCCUGGCACAGCGCGCUCGAGCACGGGAGCUUCGAGUAGGUCUUGGAGGUCGAGGGGUCGAAUAUCGGGGUCGACUGCGAGAAGCAAUCGACGCAGGGCUUGCACUGCGUCCAGAUGAGGUCGCUGCCCGUGUCGAGGAUGGCGGAGAAGGGCACGCUGGGCGUGCCGAUCGCGAGGUCCAUGAGGAACUCGCCGUUGCCGGCGUGAACGGGGGCCUGAACCUGCGAGCUCGAGCCGGCCGCCUUCGUCGUCCUGGCGAUGAGCCUCGACAUCCGAUGGUGGCUCCGGUGCGCCGCGCGCUGGAGGAGCUCGAGCUUUGAGAAGUUUCCUUUCGAGUCGAUGUGCGUGAGAUCGACGCGAAGGCCUUUCAGAGGAGCUGGAUGGCGUCCGGUCGACCGGGCGACGACGAAGAUCAUGGCCAAGACUAGAAUUUGCAACUUAUGGGUUGUUCCCAUUUUUGGAUCAACAAAGCAAAGAGACCAGGAGAAAGAGAGAGAGAGAAGGAUAUGAAAGAAUCCUUAGCCUUAGAUAUGCAUGAGGUCAACAUGAACAAAUGUAUAUAGGCAUACAAUAUGUGUGAGUAGUUAUAAUUAGGUAAGUUUAGUUUACUAAGAGGGAAUAGUAGGCCACAUAUAUAUUUAUAUAUAUAUAUAUACCAUAAAAACAACAAUAUUGUUUCUUACAAAACUUUGUUUAUUAUAGCCACUAAACAUGGCUAGGGUUUGGGAAUGAGGAGUUUAAAGGAGAUGGAGAUCAUGGGAGUGUACCUACUGUGAGGUGGUGAGUUUUGUCCCACACCUUUUAAUUGAUAGUUGGUCUCUCAAAAAUUGGUAAAAAGCUAAGGUAGUUUCGAACUGUUAGGUUCUCUUUUAGGUUUAGAUGGGUAGGAUUUAGGUCAAAUUGCACUCUUUGGGGCAUGACAUUUUGGUUCACAAAUUUUAAUUUAUUAAAAUUUUUUGCUCGAAUUUUUUUGAAAUAUUACAGCUUAAUUAUUCUCACAAUUUAAUUUAAUUGAUUAAAUAUUAAUAUACUAUUACUAUGAAAGUGAUGUAAAAAUGUUAUAAUGGAUGGCGCGUAGUAAUUAAUAUAAUACAUUACUUUUAUAUCAGCAAUAUAUUAUUUUUUAGUCAACUAAAUAGGAUUGUAGGAUUUAGUUGUAAUAAUUUAAGUCAGAAAUUAUAAUAAAUUAAAAUUUGAUCGCUAAAGCAUCACGCACCUCAUACUUUUGAGGACCAAAAAGUGUAAUUUAGGCGUACAAUUUCUAUCUAAGAUUACUUCUUUCCACCACUCUACCAAGUGCUUCCUUGAAGUUGCUUCUCUAUGCUUCAUCUUUAAUUUUCACUUAAUUGAUCAAUUCAAGGUUCUUUUAUAAACAAUCUUUAAUCCAAAAGAAGUGCUUUCAACAUGAAAAGUGAGAUUAAUUAACAAAUCCAUUCUUACACCGACCGUCCCUAAAACAAAAUGGUAAAGAGCUUGAUGGUUGGUACCCGAGAUCUAAGUUUGAAUCCUAAUCGAUUCACAUUUCCAGCUAAGUUUAUUUCCAAAUGAAAUAAACGAAGCGGAAAUUAAGCGUGCUAUCUAUCUCUCUCUCAAAAAAAAAAAAAAACAAAUCCAUUUUUACUAGCUAGGGGCAGAUUAGAUCUAUCGAAUCAGGUCAAAUUAAGUCGAGGAUUAGUAACUAGUUUUAAAUGAAUAUAUCCGUCAAUAUCAUAUAAGCUCUCUUAUUAAGUAUACAACAUCAGUCUACUAAUAUUUUGUACUCAGCAAUUAUUUUUCUCAACUAAAUAGUAUAUGUAACCGACAGAAUUCUAACUCAACCUCUGCUACUCUGAUGGCACACAACAACGACUUUUUCUUCUGCAAAUAAGUUGAUCUACUUACACAAACGAUAUUUUUAAUAUUUUAUACCUACCAAUCUCAAUCAAUCCUCUUCUUUAGAACAUCAUUUAGGACCACCCACGUACUUAAAUGUGGUAUAUCUCCACAAGAAAUUAGACUUGGGAGCUUCAUAUUGGUAACAAUUUGACUCAAAAAGGUGUACUCUAAUUAAUCAACGUAUCAAGAAACAACAAGGAAAAACACUUAAAUGUUGGGUGAGCAACUUCUCCACUCAAUUUCAUCAUCAAAAAGUAGGCGAGAAAAGUUCUCUUUUUUCGUUUUCUCUUUUUUGACUUCACAAGCAAAAUCAUACAUAUUGGAGAGCUUAAAAGCAUCGAUUGUUGGCGUUUGGUGCGCUAUCGACGUAGGUGUGAAAACAACACACCACCUGUUUUAAGUGUAUAUGAAUCCCGCCCCCACUGCCGUCUGAUCGGAGCCGUGGCGCGAUCGUGAUGGUCCGUUUCGCGGGCUCCGCGAUAGGGUGCACACCUAACAGGUCAGAUUCUUAGUGUGUCCUACACCCUGUGAUGUAAGAUUCGAGCCAUUUUGUAUGUAGAUGUGAUUGAGCUAAGAAUCUAGCCUAGUGCUUAAUAAGUUAAUGUGCUAGUUUUGACUCAGGUAUUUGAAUAUUGGUCAAUUUAUAAGCUUAAAAUGAUGUGUUAAUAGGAGGGAAAUUUACAAGGAAUAUAUUCUUAAUUAAACAUCAAUGAUUCAAUGGUUACCUCAUUAUUGUAUGUACGCAUGUGCGCACACACAAAUACAUAAUUUAUAUUGCUGUAUUAUUUCUUAAGUUUUUUUNUUCAAAAACAUUGCAAGGUUUGGUAAUAUAAACAAACCUUGAACAUCUAUCUGAUUAAAUGUAAUUUAAAAAAAAAAAACUUAAGAAAUAAUACAUCAAUGAUUCAAUGGUUACCUCAUUAUUGUAUGUACGCAUGUGCGCACACACAAAUACAUAAUUUAUAUUGCUGUAUUAUUUCUUAAGUUUUUUUUUUUUAAAUUACAUUUAAUCAGAUAGAUGUUCAAGGUUUGUUUAUAUUACCAAACCUUGCAAUGUUUUUGAAAUAAUUGAGUACCUGAACUUUAAAAUUUGUAUUUUUAGUUCCCAAUUGUAGAUUUGUGCAUUUUGGUGGAAAUUCUGUAAUCUGGUAGAAUAUUUUAUUUAUUGUGCCAAAAAAUAUGGAAAUAUAUUAUACUACUAGAUGGUAAAAUCGAAGUUUUGAAGUUCAAAAGUUUAGAUGGUAAAUCAAUAUUUUUAAAAUUUGGGUUCUUAUCAAAUUGGGCAUUCAAAUUGUACUCCCUCGCUAAUUUACCUGCAUUAGUAUUCUAAACUCAUCCUGCGACGAAAUAUCUCGUAACCUACUCAUUGAAUUCAAGCUUGAGAUCAUGAAUUGGGGCAAGUUGAACUUGAGUUUGGCUCAUCAACUUAUCAAGUUACCUCGAUUUUUUAGUUUAUGGCUUUUUUUCUUGGUUUUAUUGCUAAUUUAUGAUUAUAUUUGGAUUUUAUAGGCUCACAUCACUUUCAUGCCAAGUUUGAAAUGUAUACACUUAAUCAACCUCAUAUCAUUGUAUCCAACAUUACUUCCAUGCUAAGUUUUAGUUAAGCAGAGUAAAUGUUUAAGAAAAUUGGUCCUCGUCAGUCUAAUCGCACAUACUCAUCAGUCUAAUCAGACAUAUAGCUUAAGAUCAUCAGGCGAUGUGAAAAUCAUAUCACACUUUUAGCUGGUGAAUCGGCUCUGAUAUCAAAUAUAACAAUAUGAGAAUAAUAACUUUUUGGGCUCAUACCAUUGGCCUAGAAUACAUAAGCCUGGUUAUGAUUCCUAAGGUCUGUGGUCUCUUAUAUACCCUCACAUCUAGUGAUAGAUAUGGGCAAACUAUCAAGAUCUGCUUCCCAGGGGUUCCGCCCAUCCUCGUGACACCAAACUAUCAAGACCUGCUUUCUAGGGGGUCACCUAUAUAUAUUGAGCCCGUGACUCGAUUAACUGAGUAUUCUAGUCACCCAUUAUUGAAUCCGUAGUUCGAUUUAAACCCAAUAACUUGUUGGGCCUGAUCCACUAGCCCAAAAUGACAUAAUCCAAAUAUUGUGCCAAUCUUAUUCAAAUUUUUAUACUUUCAUAUCUAGUCAUAACUAAAUGAUGUGUGACUAUUCUUACGUCUUAGAAUGUCACACCCUAGCCAAAGCUUCUUAUGAAAGUUUAAUUUCAGAAGCUUAACUUUGUGUAACGGAAUGAACAUUGCCGUCAAGCAACAUCUAAAGAUCAAAAGCUAUCUGAUCACCGAAAACGUAUGAAAACUAAUGUUUCACUACUCGUAGACAAAGGCCAUUUCCAUUAGCGCAAACCAAUCUUUCCUUAAAACUUUCUACAAGAAGCGGUGACGAGGCGAAAAAUCCAGUGCUAGGAGAGGAGUACAAAGGUUUUACUUGAUGGGGGCAAUAUCAUCCAGUUAUAGGAAACAAAGUAGGAAGAAUAAGAUGGUGAGGGUAGAGGUGAAUAGGAUGAAGUAAAUGAGUGACGAAUGCUAUUGCGUAGGUGUUAUACUACCAGGUGGGGAAAGAACUUCAACACUGCGAAAAUAGUUGAUUAAUGAACUUCACUCUACUUCCAAUUUCUAGUUUUAGAUGCAAAACACUGGUUACAAAAGUGCCAGCAAUCAUACAACUCUCUCUCGUAGCAAAUGCCCUAAUGUUUGAGUGCGACAAAACCUUACUCAACAUAACCACUCAAAACACAUGACAAAAAUGAGUUCAUGUCACUUGCAUUGUAUGUGUUGCUUCUGCAUAGUCAUGUACAAAUACCACCACAACUUGCAUUCUCCUCCCAUUUCUCUCACUGAUGUAAUGAAAUAUGAGAACCACAAUGCGAAGAUCACCAGUUCUCUCUCAUCUUAUUCAAAUUCUACUAUCACUCUCACUCUGUCUUUUCCUUGUUGAGCCUUUUCAAUAUGAUCUUCGACUCGAAUUGACCCAUGUCGACGCCAACACCAACCUCACCUCCCUCCAACUCCUCCACCGUAGCAUCGAGCGGAGCCGCACCAGGCUUUCGUGGCUAACCGGGGAUAACGACUCCCCCGACUCAACCGAUUCCCCCUUCAAUGCUCAAGUGCCCAUCUCUGAGAUCGACGGUGGUGAAUACCUAGCUGAACUCCACAUCGGUAGUCCACCUUCUUCUUUCCUUGCGAUCCUUGACACCAGCAGCGACAUCAUCUGGAUUCAAUGCGUCCCACCAGUGUUUGACCCAUCGCAAUCCUCCACCUUUGCGGAGCUCCCAUGUUUCAACACCCUGUGCCAAGCACUUUCGCGGUUUAAAUGCGCCAACAACCUAUGCCACUAUAGCUACUGCUAUGGGAGGUCUAGAAAUGUUCACGGUUAUCUAGCAAGCGAAACCUUCACCUUUGGCCUUACCAAUGGAACCGUUGUCUCCAGCAUCAGUUUCGGAUGCGGUUCCAUAAGCCCGGGGGACAUGACAUGGCAACCCUCUGGCUUUGUUGGACUCGGUCGCGGGCCCUUGUCUUUGGUCUCGCAACUUGGGUUAAAAAAGUUCUCCUACUGCCUCUCCCCGCCUCAUGAAGCUCAAAAAAAGAGUCUUCUGCUUCUUGGCUCCCUAGCUAACCUUCCUGGAAACACAAUGAAUGAGAUUACAUCAACUAACCUACUAAUAA